GCCUCAGUAACGGCGAGUGAAGCGGCAAAAGCUCAAAUUUGAAAUCUGGCUCUUUUAGGGUCCGAGUUGUAAUUUGUAGAAGAUGUUUCGGGUGUGGCUCCGGUUUAAGUUCUUUGGAAUAUUACAUCAUAGAGGGUGAGAAUCCCGUAUGUGACCGGCAGCCUUCGCCUAUGUGAAACUCUUUCGACGAGUCGAGUUGUUUGGGAAUGCAGCUCAAAAUGGGAGGUAUAUUUCUUCUAAAGCUAAAUAUUGGCCAGAGACCGAUAGCGCACAAGUAGAGUGAUCGAAAGAUGAAAAGCACUUUGGAAAGAGAGUUAAACAGUACGUGAAAUUGUUGAAAGGGAAGCGCUUGCAACCAGACUUGCACGCAGUUGAUCAUCCGGUGUUCUCACCGGGGCACUCUGCUGCGUUCAGGCCAGCAUCGGUUUUGGUGGUUGGAUAAAGGCCUUGGGAAUGUGGCUUCCUUCGGGGAGUGUUAUAGCCCUCGGUGCAAUGCAGCCUACCGGGACCGAGGACCGCGCUUCGGCUAGGAUGCUGGCGUAAUGGUUGUAAGCGACCCGUCUUGAAACACGGACCAAGGAGUCUAACAUCUAUGCGAGUGUUUGGGUGUUAAACCCAUACGCGUAAUGAAAGUGAACGGAGGUGAGAACCCUUAAGGGUGCAUCAUCGACCGGUCCUGAUGUCUUCGGAUGGAUCUGAGUAAGAGCAUAGCUGUUGGGACCCGAAAGAUGGUGAACUAUGCGUGAAUAGGGUGAAGCCAGAGGAAACUCUGGUGGAGGCUCGCAGCGGUUCUGACGUGCAAAUCGAUCGUCAAAUUUGCGCAUAGGGGCGAAAGACUUAUCGAACCAUUGAACACCUACUAGGUGGUUAAGAGGCCUUAGUACGGCCUAGUCCUCACCGAGGGCGACAUUGUCAAAUUGUUCGGGGACCUCCUGAUAACUCUCAGACUACCGCAGCCCGCCCGAAAGGGGGGUGCGCACCGGGCUAACGACCCUGGGGAUGGUAACAACGUCUGGGUAGGGAAGAUCCGCAGCCAAGUCCUACCGCCCUCCGGGGCCACGGAUGCAGUUCACAGACUUGAAGGCAGUGGGCUCCCCCGGGAGCUUAAGAUAAAGUCGAACCCCCCGGAGACGGGGUGGAGGGAGGAGAGUGCGUCGCACUCAGAGUCCUUCAGGGCCCACGA
rnacentral:rRNA from 1 species